GGCAGGGAUGGAUGAGAGCACUUUUGAGACAUUUGAGGAAGAACUCGGUAGCCCUCUACAGGACGUGCCUCCUCCCAAACCAAUUAGACAGGCACGCAGACCAGAAAUGUACGCUCAGAGGCGAAUGAGAGAGGAAACCCCAAGCUCUCAGCAAGUCCCCAAAACUAUGCCACGAGAGACCCCUUCCUCCAGGACCAGCACAAGUGUGUCCUCUGUGAUCCCCCCCCCCCCCUUUUUUUCCCCAGCUUACUACCAACACUUACUCUUAAGCAUCAAAAGUGUUCAAAUUCACACCACUGUAUUUGAAAACGAAUCAGAUAUCCAUAUGAAAACUAAACACAGACUAUUUCAACGUGAAAAAGAUUUGCUUGAAUGUCUUAACUUUCUUAACUUGGCUAUGAUUUCCAUACUUCUGUUCUCUUCGCAAACCAAAUCUAUGUGUCUGUGUCUGUGUC